rnacentral:tRNA from 1 species
AGGUAGAUGGCGAAAUAGGUAGACGCGCUACACUCAAAAUGUAGUGAUUUAUCGUGAGGGUUCGAGUCCCUUUCUACCUA